AUUGAACGCUGGCGGCAUGCCUUACACAUGCAAGUCGAACGGUAACAGGUCUUCGGAUGCUGACGAGUGGCGAACGGGUGAGUAAUACAUCGGAACGUGCCCGAUCGUGGGGGAUAACGAAGCGAAAGCUUUGCUAAUACCGCAUAAGAUCUAAGGAUGAAAGCAGGGGACCGCAAGGCCUUGCGCGAACGGAGCGGCCGAUGGCAGAUUAGGUAGUUGGUGGGAUAAAAGCAUACCAAGCCGACGAUCUGUAGCUGGUCUGAGAGGACGACCAGCCACACUGGGACUGAGACACGGACCAGACUCCGACGGGAGGCAGCAGUGGGGAAUUUUGGACAAUGGGCGAAAGCCUGAUCCAGCCAUGCCGCGUGCAGGAUGAAGGCCUUCGGGUUGUAAACUGCUUUUGUACGGAACGAAAAGACUCUGGUUAAUACCUGGGGUCCAUGACGGUACCGUAAGAAUAAGCACCGGCUAACUACGUGCCAGCCGCCGCAGUAACAC
rnacentral:rRNA from 1 species